CUCUGUCACACCACGCCCUGCACAUAGCCCCGGUCUCUCUCUCUCUCUCUGUCACACCACGCCCUGCACAUAGCCCCGGUCUCUCUCUCUCUCUCUGUCACACCACGCCCUGCACAUAGCCCCGGUCUCUCUCUCUCUCUCUCUGUCACACCACGCCCUGCACAUAGCCCCGGUCUCUCUCUCUCUCUCUCUGUCACACCACGCCCUGCACAUAGCCCCGGUCUCUCUCUCUCUCUCUCUGUCACACCACGCCCUGCACAUAGCCCCGGUCUCUCUCUCUCUCUCUGUCACACCACGCCCUGCACAUAGCCCCGGUCUCUCUCUCUGUCACACCACACCCUGCACAUAGCCCCGGUCUCUCUCUCUGUCACACCACGCCCUGCACACACACGGUACCCUGGUCUUUCUCUUACACAGUCAUACACAAACACAGAGUGUUGGGGGUCCAUGUGCUACUAUUAAACAAAUCCCAUUUCCCCCACAAACCCCUCUGCUUCCCCCACAGCCACUGGACAGGUAUUGAUUCAAAUGUGUCCUACCUGACUGCCUCUGAUAGGCUCCUGCUGAUGGACGGAUAUUUCUCAUUUUUAAUUUCUCUCUUUGCUGUCGGAGUAAGAAGCGGGGUGAAAUGGCAAGAGUGAGAGGAGUGCUGAAUCCCAAACCAGUCCCUUCUUGGCCCCAGUUAGACCCCUCCAACAGACACUGUAACUGAGUCAGUCGUAUUCAUAGUGAUAUCCUAACACACACGACUUGUUCUGUAGGUCUCACUACUUCAUGAUGUUUUUUUAAAGGUGCCUAAUGAUAUGACCUAUGCAGCUUGUCAUUUCAAGAUGUGACAUGUAAUUACAACUAACAAAAUACCCCCCAAACUCAAUGUUCAACUUUAUCUCCAGUUCAAGUUGUGAAACUACAGGAGUUUUGCAUGCUCAGUUUAUUUAAUUCAUGAACUUUUAAGUCAUAUGUGUGUUUCUAAGUUGGUCCUGUUUCUUGAUUCCCCGGGAAACUGACCUCUGUUUUGUCGACAACCGAUGGGUGUCCGGCGAGAUGUGGGGGAAGGGGUGUAAGGAACUAGUUUGGGAUUCAGCAGAGGACUAUAUCUCUCUCCUCUCUGGUGAGGCUUACAAUGGGCUGAGGGUUUGGGUGUGUGUAAUGGUAUCAUCCUGUGUUAUGUCACAGGCUGGACUGUAGAGGUCGGGCUCAGUGAUUGGCGAGUAACCGUUGUCCCUGCCACGUCUAAAAUGGACCUCCUGGUCCCUACCCUCUGCGCCACUCACCUUAUAUAAGCAGGAUCAAUAGUUACCAUGAUCAAUGCUCUGAUCCGGAUUCAGAUGUUGCUGGUGGUUUCAUUGAGUAUUACAAAGGUUAAAGUUGAAUUCCUGUCUGUCUCUGAACAAGGAAAUAUCAGUUUUUCUGAGAAUAUUUAGAAACGUCUGCUAAUUCUUUGGUCCUGCUUUUGCGACAUCCCCUCUGGUAGGCUCCUGUGGUCUCCAGAUGACCUAGCUUAAAGGUGCACACGAAAUGUCGUCAUCAUACACUGCAGGGUAACUAAUCACUAACAUAGUCACAAUCUGCCUAUUGACUCUUGGCAUUUUCCAAUGUGGUCAGACGUUUUGGGAAAUUCAAAAGGAUGUUGCUGUUGUCUUUAAAGCGGAGUGCUACUCCACUGUGUAUGAUGAUGCCAUCUUGUGGUGUGUACCUUUAUCCCAGGAAGAGUCCCAGUGUUAACCCUGUGUUCCUGGUUCAAACUACAUGGGUAAUGUUUGUAUUUGCUGUUGUUUGAUUGCACUCACUUUUGAUUGCAGAAAGCGUCUAUAUAUGAAAUAAAAUACCUGCCAAGGACCAGUGGUCAGUGUCUGGGUUGUGUCCACAGCACUUGGAAGGCCUUAGGCCAGUGGUUGUCCAAAUGUUAUGCCUAGUCACCUAAAUUGAACCUGGGUGCAAAAACCUUUUUUGUCAAUGAAAUAAAAAAAUAAAAAGGUAUUGUAUAUUUUAUAUUUACAGUCAUUUUACCAAUUACAUGAAGG
ensembl:lncRNA